rnacentral:rRNA from 1 species
AUUGAACGCUGGCGGCGUGCCUUACACAUGCAAGUCGAACGGUAACGGGCCUUCGGGUGCCGACGAGUGGCGAACGGGUGAGUAAUACAUCGGAACGUGCCCGAUCGUGGGGGAUAACGAGGCGAAAGCUUUGCUAAUACCGCAUAAGAUCUACGGAUGAAAGCAGGGGACCGCAAGGCCUUGCGCGGACGGAGCGGCCGAUGGCAGAUUAGGUAGUUGGUGGGAUAAAAGCUUACCAAGCCGACGAUCUGUAGCUGGUCUGAGAGGAUGAUCAGCCAGACUGGGACGGAGACACGGCCCAGACGCCUACGGGAGGCAGCAGUGGGGAAUUUUGGACAAUGGGCGCAAGCCUGAUCCAGCCAUGCCGCGUGCAGGAUGAAGGCCUUCGGGUUGUAAACUGCUUUUGUACGGAACGAAAAGCCUUCUUCUAAUACAGGAGGGUCAUGACGGUACCGUAAGAAUAAGCACCGGCUAACUACGUGCCAGCCGCCGCCGUAA